rnacentral:tRNA from 1 species
GGUUGCGUAACUCAGUUGGAUAGAGUGCGAAAUUCCUAAUUUCGAAGUCGCAGGUUCGAAUCCUGCCGUGACCACCA